rnacentral:lncRNA from 1 species
UCACAUCAUCAAUUGUUGAUUCUUUAUGGUUCAAGUCUGAUCUGACCUCAUUAUCUUGACAACAGGGAAAAACAAUUCGAAUUAUUAAAAAUCUAAAAUCUGAUUUGAGUAAGAGCUCACUACUGGUUUAAUUGACUAUUCUCAUCAUUCAUUAAUUCUCAUUGCCACCUUCAGCCAGCCAACGUAAAACAUGAGGUUAUCGAGUGCACCAAUUGGGCAAUUUAGCAUGACAGACGAUGCAUGCAUCAGUUUAGCUGCGCAAUGUUAGAAAAACAAAUUAAGGACCAUAUUCUGUAAAGAUUCAACACACUUUAGCAAAUUGAUUAGUAGCAUGCCGUAAUAACGUAGAGCAUCAAACUUCUAUUAAUACAUCAGGAAUCUAAGAGCGUGUUUACGAAUGGGAAAUGGGACGUGGGGAAUGGGAAUUGCACACAAUUCGAUGAAUUCAAGUGUUUACUACCAUAAGAGGAAUGAAAAUCAGUGGAAAAAUGGGGUGGGACCCAGCUCAUUUCUGGAAUCAGACUUCGGGUAACACCGGAGUCGGAUUCUCUAAUAGUACUUGGUAUUUGGAUUCCUUGAAGGGGAGUCCUCCAAGAAUCAAAGUUUUGCUCCAAAAUUACCCUAAUUUAUUUUCUUAAUUUCAAAACAGCCUUACAAACUUCAUCGCCAAAUCCAACAUAGAUACCCAUAUCACUCUCUUCUCCAGUCUCAC